UUUGAUUCCAUAUGUAAAUGGAACCCUUCGAUGUAUUGAUUGUCGAAAUUAUUUAUAUAAUUGCAAUGUUAGCAAAGAUCUUUUGAACGCAGGACAUAAUGAAGGUAGUAUAGUGGAUUUACUACCAAAUGAGAAACCAGAUCGAACCUAUAGGAAUUGCAUAUUGCCCGGUAAAAAAGUAUCUGGGCCUCUCAUCGGAACCGUGUGCUCUGCUACCAAAGAUAGAACCUGUGGCGUAUUAAGUUUUCGUAG